AGCCGCUCAGAACUUAAAGGAAUUGACGGGGCCGCACAAGCGGUGGAGCAUGUGGUUAAUUCGAUGAUACGCGAGGAACUUACCUGGGCUCGAACGUAAGAUGACUGUAGGUGAAAGCUUACAUCUCUUCGGAGCAUUUUACGAGGUGCUGCAUGGUUGUCGUCAGCUCGUGCCGUGAGGUGUCGGGUUAAGUCCCAUAACGAGCGCAACCCCUACCUUUAGUUGCCAUCAGGUUAAGCUGGGGACUCUAAAGGAACUGCCUACGCAAGUAGUGAGGAAGGCGGGGAUGACGUCAAAUCAGCACGGCCCUUACGUCCAGGGCUACACACGUGCUACAAUGGCCGAUACAGAGGGCAGCUACCUGGUGACAGGAUGCAAAUCUCCAAAGUCGGUCUCAGUUCGGAUCGGAGUCUGCAACCCGACUCCGUGAAGUUGGAUUCGCUAGUAAUCGCGCAUCAGCCAUGGCGCGGUGAAUACGUUCCCGGGCCUU
rnacentral:rRNA from 1 species